rfam:Caenorhabditis remanei strain PB4641 contig2.38, whole genome shotgun sequence.
ACCUGUGUAGUAUAGUGGUUAGUACUCCACGUUGUGGCCGUGGCGACGCUGGUUCGAUUCCAGCAGCAGGCA